UUUUGAUCCACAAAGAAGCUGACACAGUUUACUUCUUUAUGGGAAGCUGACUCCUUUUCCUACUGUGGCAUUCUGUUAUCUGAAGUCAAACGUACCUGAAUGUGUCCUAUUGUGUUACUCAACUCACUUCUGAAUAUGGUUCUGUUUUGCAUACCACCAACCCACAUAACCAUUUCUGAAUCUCUUGUUUCACACUGCUCCAGUGACAACUUGAUUCACAGGCCGAACUAGUGAGGUAAGAAAGUAAGUUUGCCAAGUUUGUAUAAUC
rnacentral:lncRNA from 10 species